CGGGGUGCACCAGGCGCGAAAACUUUACAAUGCGGGAAACCGUGAUAAGGGGACACCGAGUGCCAGCAUCAUAUGCUGGCUGUCCAGGUGUGUAAAAUACACCUGUCAGCAAGGGCCGGGCAAGACCGGUGCCAGCCGCCGCGGUAACACCGGCGGCCCGAGUGGUGAUCGUGAUUAUUGGGUCUAAAGGGUCCGUAGCCGGUUUGGUCAGUCCUCCGGGAAAUCUGACGGCUCAACCGUUAGGCUUUCGGGGGAUACUGCCAGGCUUGGAACCGGGAGAGGUAAGAGGUACUACAGGGGUAGGAGUGAAAUCUUGUAAUCCCUGUGAGACCACCUGUGGCGAAGGCGUCUUACCAGAACGGGUUCGACGGUGAGGGACGAAAGCUGGGGGCACGAACCGGAUUAGAUACCCGGGUAGUCCCAGCCGUAAACGAUGCUCGCUAGGUGUCAGGCAUGGCGCGACCGUGUCUGGUGCCGCAGGGAAGCCGUGAAGCGAGCCACCUGGGAAGUACGGCCGCAAGGCUGAAACUUAAAGGAAUUGGC
rnacentral:rRNA from 1 species